UGGGGAAUCUUAGACAAUGGGCGCAAGCCUGAUCUAGCCAUGCCGCGUGGGCGAUGAAGGCCUUAGGGUUGUAAAGCUCUUUCAGAUGGGAAGAUAAUGACUGUACCAUCAGAAGAAGCCCCGGCUAACUCCGUGCCAGCAGCCGCGGUAAUACGGAGGGGGCUAGCGUUGUUCGGAAUUACUGGGCGUAAAGCGCACGUAGGCGGACUGGAAAGUCAGAGGUGAAAUCCCAGGGCUCAACCUUGGAACUGCCUUUGAAACUCCCAGUCUUGAGGUCGAGAGAGGUGAGUGGAAUUCCGAGUGUAGAGGUGAAAUUCGUAGAUAUUCGGAGGAACACCAGUGGCGAAGGCGGCUCACUGGCUCGAUACUGACGCUGAGGUGCGAAAGCGUGGGGAGCAAACA
rnacentral:rRNA from 1 species